CCCUCCCGAUCUGGUCGCCGCCCACCCUCACCCUCCCGAUCUUGUGAGCUGCAGGGGAAAUCAGUCUCCAGAAUCGCCACCACCGAUGCCGCUCGGUUCCCCUCCGCAAUGGUCUCCACCAGCGCCGCGUGCCCCCAAGAAAAUGGCGGCCUUGGAUGAAAACGUGCGGCUCGAUCGACCUUGAGAAGAUCCCCAUCAACGCGGACUCCCCUAUGACCAAACCAACGAUCAAUGUGUGGUGAGAAUGACAGCAGUAUGCACCACAUUUGCAGUCUUAACUACAUGGUGGGCAUCAUCACAGCUGCCAUAUAGGAGAACUCCCUAUCUUUGAUAUGCUCAACGGCGGUGACAUGCCUAGAGUAGUGCAUAACAUCGCAGGAGAAGUCACAGGUUGUGGGGCUUUGCGGAGACUUCCCGCCACCAAGAUGAGCCUCCCCAUUUUGUAAUUCUCUUGGCCCUCUCUAC